UACGUAGGGGGCAAGCGUUGUCCGGAAUCAUUGGGCGUAAAGCGCGUGUAGGCGGUCCGGUAAGUCCGCUGUGAAAGUCGGGGGCUCAACCCUCGGAUGCCGGUGGAUACUGUCGGGCUUGAGUACGGAAGAGGCGAGUGGAAUUCCUGGUGUAGCGGUGAAAUGCGCAGAUAUCAGGAGGAACACCAAUUGCGAAGGCAGCUCGCUGGAACGUAACUGACGCUGAGACGCGAAAGCGUGGGGAGCAAACAGG
rnacentral:rRNA from 1 species